AGAGUUUGAUCCUGGCUCAGGGUUAACGCUGGCGGCGUGCCUAACACAUGCAAGUCGAACGGUUCUAAGCGCGAGCUUAGGAUAGUGGCGAACGGGUGAGUAAAAGGUAGGAAUCUACCCCUUGGACGGAGAUAGCUACUGGAAACGGUAGGUAAACUUCGAUAAGCCCGAGAGGGGAAAGUGGUGAGACAGCCGAGGGAUGAGCCUACUCUCCAUCAGGUAGUUGGUGAGAUAAAAGCUUACCAAGCCGAUGACGGAUAACCGGUGUGAGAGCAUGAACGGUCACAAGGGCACUGAGAGACGGACCCUACUCCUACGGGAGGCAGCAGUGGGGAAUCUUGGACAAUGGGCGAAAGCCUGAUCCAGCGACGCCGCGUGGAGGAAGAAGUCCUUCGGGAUGUAAACUUCUGAACUAGCCGAAUAAAAGGCCUGUGGACACACAGGAGAAGAAAGUAGGCUAGGAAAAGUCCCGGCUAACUACGUGCCAGCAGCCGCGGUAAGACGUAGGGGGCAAGCGUUACCCGGAAUUACUGGGCGUAAAGGGGGCGUAGGCGGUAAAAGAAGUCAUCUGUGAAAACCUAUUGCUCAACGAUAGGCUAGCGGAUGAAACUGAAUUACUUGAGGGCACCAGAGGUAGACGGAAUUACCCGAGUAGGGGUGAAAUCCGCAGAUACGGGUAGGAACGCCGGUGGAGAAGUCGGUCUACUGGGGUGCACCAGACGCUGAGGCCCGAAAGCUAGGGGAGCAAACCGGAUUAGAUACCCGGGUAGUCCUAGCCGUAAACGAUGCUCACUAGGUGUAGGGAGUGAUAAACUCUCUGUGCUGAAGCGAACGCGCUAAGUGAGCCGCCUGGGGAGUACGUCCGCAAGGAUGAAACUCAAAGGAAUUGACGGGGGUCCGCACAAGCGGUGGAGCAUGUGGUUUAAUUCGAUGGUAACCGAAGAACCUUACCAGGGAUUGACAUGUAACUGAAGGUAGAGAAAUCUACUGGCCUGCUGCAAAGCGGGAGGUUACACAGGUGGUGCACGGCCGUCGUCAGCUCGUGCCGUGAGGUGUUGGGUUAAGUCCCGCAACGAGCGCAACCC
rnacentral:rRNA from 1 species